UACGUAGGGUGCAAGCGUUAAUCGGAAUUACUGGGCGUAAAGCGUGCGCAGGCGGCUAUGCAAGACAGAUGUGAAAUCCCCCGGGCUUAACCUGGGAAUGGCAUUUGGGACUGCAAGGCUGGAGUGCGGCAGAGGAGACUGGAAUUCCUGGUGUAGCAGUGAAAUGCGUAGAUAUCAGGAGGAAUACCGAUGGCGAAGGCAGGUCUCUGGGCUGACACUGACGCUCAUGCACGAAAGCGUGGGGAGCAAACAGG
rnacentral:rRNA from 1 species